GCUGCAGUAUUUUGACUGUACAAAGGUAGCAUAAUCAUUAGUCUCUUAAUUGGUGACUUGUAUGAAAGAUUGGAUGAGAUAUAAACUGUCUUAUUUUUAUUUAUAGAAUUUAAUUUUUUAAUUAAAAAGUUAAAAUUUUUUUAAAAGACGAGAAGACCCUAUAGAGUUUUAUAUAUAAUUAAUUAAAAAUUUUUUUAUUAAUAUUAAAUUUAAAUUAAGAAAUAUAUUUUGUUGGGGUGAUAGAAAAAUAAAAAUAACUUUUUUUUAUAUUAUAUUUAUUUAAUUUAUAAAUUAAAAUGAAUAAUUUACAUUAAUAUUUGAAUAAAUGAUCCAUAAAUUAUGAUUAAAAGAUUAAAUUACCUUAGGGAUAACAGCGUAAUUUUUUUUUUUAGUUCAAAUA
rnacentral:rRNA from 1 species